rnacentral:tRNA from 1 species
ACGGGUAUGGUGUAAUGGUAGCAUAGCGGUCUCCAAAACCGUUGAUGGGAGUUCGACUCUCUCUACCCGUG